CUACGUGCCAGCAGCCGCGGUAAUACGUAUGUCACGAGCGUUAUCCGGAUUUAUUGGGCGUAAAGCGCGUCUAGGUGGUUAUAUAAGUCUGAUGUGAAAAUGCAGGGCUCAACUCUGUAUUGCGUUGGAAACUGUAUAACUAGAGUACUGGAGAGGUAAGCGGAACUACAAGUGUAGAGGUGAAAUUCGUAGAUAUUUGUAGGAAUGCCGAUGGGGAAGCCAGCUUACUGGACAGAUACUGACGCUGAAGCGCGAAAGCGUGGGUAGCAAACAGGAUUAGAUACCCUGGUAGUCCACGCUGUAAACGAUGAUUACUAGGUGUUGGGGGUCGAACCUCAGCGCCCAAGCAAACGCGAUAAGUAAUCCGCCUGGGGAGUACGUACGCAAGUAUGAAACUCAAAGGAAUUGACGGGGACCCGCACAAGCGGUGGAGCAUGUGGUUUAAUUCGACGCAACGCGAGGAACCUUACCCGGGCUUGAAUUGCAGAGGAAGGAUUUAGAGAUA
rnacentral:rRNA from 1 species